rnacentral:rRNA from 1 species
GACGUACCACCCAAACGUUAUUCGGAUUCACUGGGCUUACAGAGUCCGUAGGCGGUCGAGAAAGUUGGAUGUGAAAUACCUCAGCUCAACUGAGGAAUUGCGUUCAAAACUACUUGGCUAGAGAGAUACAGAGGUGAGCGGAACUGAUGGUGGAGCGGUGAAAUGCGUUGAUAUCAUCAGGAACACCAGUGGCGAAGGCGGCUCACUGGUCCAUUACUGACGCUGAGGUGCGAAAGCGUGGGGAGCAAACAGG